rnacentral:lncRNA from 1 species
UGGCAUACUGAAAAUUGCUUCUUUUUUUUCUUCUCUCUAGUGGCAAGGGGGGAAAUGAGGAGACCUUCCAAUGUCUUCUCUACCCAGUGAAUCUCUGACUCUACAAGUUUCCUUCCCAAGACACUGUGGUCCAGGGCUACCUCCCUUACAGCCUACAUGACAACAUGUGCAAAUUAUUUGUCAGCAUCUAAUUGCAAGAACGGAGCUGCCUGCCUAGAGGAAACAAAGAGCCUUUAGCCUGCUCCUCCAGGCUCAACAUUUGACAGGGCCAUGACCAUGUCCAGCAUUGCU